GCCUGGCUGGCUCAGUGGGUAGAGCAUGCAACCCCUGAUCCUGGGGUCGUGGGUUCAAGCCCCAUGUUGGGCC
rnacentral:tRNA from 1 species